UGAGGAAUAUUGGUCAAUGGGCGCAAGCCUGAACCAGCCAAGUCGCGUGAGGGAUGACGGUCCUAUGGAUUGUAAACCUCUUUUGUCGGGGAGCAAGGCCCGCCACGUGUGGCGGGAAGGAGAGUACCCGAAGAAAAAGCAUCGGCUAACUCCGUGCCAGCAGCCGCGGUAAUACGGAGGAUGCGAGCGUUAUCCGGAUUUAUUGGGCGUAAAGGGAACGCAGGCGGUCUUUUAAGUCUGAUGUGAAAGCCUUCGGCUUAACCGGAGUAGUGCAUUGGAAACUGGGAGACUUGAGUGCAGAAGAGGAGAGUGGAACUCCAUGUGUAGCGGUGAAAUGCGUAGAUAUCACGCAGAACCCCGAUCGCGAAGGCAGCAUGCCGGCUUCCUACUGACGCUGAAGCACGAAAGCGUGGGGAUCGAACAGG
rnacentral:rRNA from 1 species